rnacentral:rRNA from 1 species
AUACGUAGGUGGCAAGCGUUGUCCGGAAUUACUGGGUGUAAAGGGAGCGCAGGCGGGGAGACAAGUCAGCUGUGAAAUGUAUGGGCUUAACCCAUAAAUUGCAGUUGAAACUGUUUUUCUUGAGUGGAGUAGAGGUAGGCGGAAUUCCGAGUGUAGCGGUGAAAUGCGUAGAUAUUCGGAGGAACACCAGUGGCGAAGGCGGCCUACUGGGCUCUAACUGACGCUGAGGCUACGAAAGUGUGGGGAGC